rnacentral:rRNA from 1 species
GUGAGGAAUUUUCCGCAAUGGGCGAAAGCCUGACGGAGCAAUGCCGCGUGAAGGAUGAAGGCCUAUGGGUUGUAAACUUCUUUUCUUAGAGAAGAAUAUUGACGGUAUCUGAGGAAUAAGCAUCGGCUAACUCUGUGCCAGCAGCCGCGGUAAGACAGAGGAUGCAAGCGUUAUCCGGCAUGAUUGGGCGUAAAGCGUCUGUAGGUGGCUUCAAAAGUCUCCUGUCAAAGAUCAGGGCUUAACCCUGGGCCGGCAGGAGAAACUCUGAGGCUAGAGUUUGGUAGGGGCAGAGGGAAUUCCCGGUGGAGCGGUGAAAUGCGUAGAGAUCGGGAGGAACACCAAAGGCGAAAGCACUCUGCUGGGCCACAACUGACACUGAGAGACGAAAGCGAGGGGAGCAAAAGGGAUUAGAAACCCCAGUAGUCC